rnacentral:lncRNA from 1 species
CUUUAUGUUGCUUUUUUCAAAAAGUUUUAUUUAUUUAAGUAAUAUCUAUACCCCAAAUGAGGACUCGAACUCAUGACCCCGAAAUCAAAAGUUGCAUGGUCUUCCUGCUAAGCCAGCCAGGCACCCCUCUUUCAGGUUGCUUUAUUUGCUUUUCAACUGUACUGACUUCAACAUUCAAAGCAAAAUCAGUUACUUUUCUGAUGGUAUUUGGAAGUUAGCACACAUUCUUCCAUUAAAAUAACUAUGCCAGGCCCGAUCUCUGACUAAUCACAACUGAAAGAUUUUAUAGUGCUUCUUGAGCAGCCUCGGCAUAAGGCUGUUAGCUGACCAAGGUUGUGUUUAGACAGUAUGAAACCCUUUCUGUUGUCUUCCCACAAAAACUAGGUAUGAUGGGUCACACCUCUGUACUCCGUCUUCGGUGGAAGAUAUACUCCACCAUCUUCUAGUAUUGCUUGGGAGAGGCAGGAAAUUCAGAGCUAAGCGUGAGGGCUUGCUGCUUUGAACAUGACCCAUAUUUUCCUGCUUGGAAAUGUGCCAGUUUAUUUUUCUCUGUUUAUGUCUUUCCUUUCUUUAGCCCAGUUUUGCACGGCCAUGAGUUCUUUCACCAUCAAGGGUAUUCAGCUUGUAGGUAUGCUCAGGUGCCCCAUGAGCAACUCUGGCAUCAUCCUCCUGUGAGGGAAGAAAGGGAUGAAAGUGGGGGAGACAGCAUCUUUGUUUGUCCUCUGACUCAUAAAGCAUCCCCACCCCCCCCCCCCCCCCCCCCCCCGCCUGCCUGCUAUGACCAGGGAAAGACUGCUUCUGGGUGGACAGUGAGGCAGUAUCAGAUGGAUCAGGGAUCAGGAGCCAGGACUCUGCAUCGGGUGGAUAUAUCCUCUUGCCCAGGAAAAGACAUGGGGUUAUGUGACCAGAGAGACUGGACCUCUGUAGUGGCGUCCCCACCAGUGACAGAGCCACUGCAUUGCAGAGCUCCGGGGAGCAGCAUUGCCAUCGUAGCCUAUGUCAGUAUGCCCGGUGCACACCUCCAUCUGUGCAAUAGGGUACAACAAGAAGAUGCCCUUGGAGAGCCAGAUCUCCUAGCUGCAAAUGGAUGCUAA